CUUGUUAACCAAAUUAAAGGAAUGUUCCGGGCAGGGAUGCAAACUACUUACCUUUCAGCUAAAGUCACCUUUUCUUAAGCUAAUUUUCCCAAGUUGUUAGGUAAAAUUUUCCUUAAAAUCACUUGAAAGGGUUACUUUAAGCGUAAACAAAAUCAUUACAACAAACAAAUCAACAUAAAUUAUAAAUCUGGGACACCUGCUAGGACUUUCUCACUUUUUUUCCAUCGCUCAUGAGUUUGCAUCCCUGGUUAUGGGUUCAAUACAAGUUAAGCUGUAUCGACCACCUUUGUGGCAUGAUGGUAAUUACCCCAAAAAAAUUUGAUUUGUUCCUCCUUUAAAAUAAAUUGAAGUUACAGUUUUAGGCACUUACAAUGGAAGUGAAAUGAGGCAAUUUUUUUUUUGAGGGUUUAAAGGCGGAAAUGUAAAGCUUAUUUCAUAAAAACAAAGUAAUUCUUCUGUUAAAACUUGUGGUUAAUUUGUGCUGUGAAGUUCUUUAAAUUGCCGUUUUAGUCACGUUUGUGACUGUCAUUACGACAAAGUUGUAAAAUUGGGUAACUUUACACGGAAAAGGUCAAUAAGUGAUUUUAUCACACUAAAAUUAUGUUAACGCAUGUUUACAUCUUGCGGCUAUAUUUUUUUAAACUGAUUAUUUGAACAUUUACUGAUUGGCCCCAUUCACAUUCAUUAUAAGUGCCUCACUACUGUUACCCAGAUUUUUUUUUUUUUUUUUACAUAAAGAAAAUGGACAUGGGGCCUUUAUGUGUAUCUUACCUUUUGGAACGUUCUUCAUGUUGGGAGUGUGCCUAUUUUGCUUUAUAGUGCUACCUAUGUAAGCCAAUAACCAGGUUUUGGUUUCCUUUUAUUAUAUUAGGUUUGUACAGAGGAAAUACUAUUCCUUCACUGAGCAGAUAUUAUUAAGAGGUGACAAUCACCUUUCCAGACUCCUACUUGUGUGUGUAUUCUGAGUCUCAGCUGAAAAACUUAUGAUGUCAUUACAGUAAAUGUGCUUCCUCAUCACCUAAGCUGUCACAGAGUCAUACCUCAUCACUCAAAGGGGCCACUGACCCAACUAAACUCAUGAUAUGUCUGGAUGAUGUGUUGAAGUUUUUGUGUAACUUGUGUAGACAUUAUCCAAUGUUAUUUCACUUAUCCAUUAUUUGAUUUAUACCAAAAAAGUAAACUGUAAUGUUUGCAAGGCCACAAGAACUAUACUGAACAAAAAUAUGAACGCAACAUGCAACAAUUUCAAAGAUUUUACUGAGUAACAGUUCAUUUAAGGAAAUCAGUCAGUUGAAAUAAAUUCAUUAGGCCCUAAUCUUGCGUAUGGAAAAUUUCUGGGAUCUUUUAUUUCAGCUCAUGAAACAUGGGACCAACACUUUACAUGUUGCGUUUAUAUUUUUAAGUGUAUAUAUUUUCUCUCAAUCCUGGCUAUGUCAUACUAGUUUAAUAUGUGGCAGUGGGAGAGCAGUCACAUGUCUAAAAUGAGCUCAUUGGCCUUUGCAGUGUUCUUGUUCGUCUAUCUCUUAACGAGAUUAUGUUGAACUUGUAAGCAGCAAGGGGACAGGUGAAGAACUAGAAUUCACAGCAAACGUCAUGGCCUGUGAAGACCAACAAGUGCUCAGCAGCAACAGAACAGAAAACAGCGAGAAUGGCUCAGAGGAAGAGUCAAGACAAGAGGACCAAAUGGCCUGGGAGGAGCUGUCCAUUAUGGAGAGGCUCAGUUCCAACAGUGUUGACAUGACGGAGGAAGAAUUAGAGACUGCUUUCUCUCAGCUGUCCCUGGCUUUCCGCUGUGACCAGUACACCCUGUGCCAGAGACUGGAGGCUGAGGAACAUGCACGGGACAAGGCUGAGGACAACCUCAAACUGGAAGUGGAAAGAGGCAUGGAAAUGCUUGAGACUCUUAAGGGAAUGUGUUUAGACAUCAAGCGGGCCAGGCUUCUCCAGCAACUUGAGCUGUGUCUUAGCAUAAUUGGGGGCACCAUUGGACGAAUCUCCAGCACAGCAGAAGUUCUUGGGGCUGUGCAUAAGGAGGCCAAAGUGAGCCGUGCAGUGGAGCUGAUGGUGGCUCAUGUAGAGAAUCUAAAGUGUCGUCAUGAGAGAAACAGUGCUGAACUGGAGGAGAUAAAGAAACAGGUGGAGAAAAGUAGCAUAAAGGAACAGGCAUGUGAGCAGAGAGAGGAAAUUGAAGCAACUGAAAAGAUGGAAAAGGAAUCACAAAAGCCACAUUUACGGCGUAGAAUCAGCAUAAAUGUCAUCUCAAAGCAAGACCAGGCAAGUAUUUCCAGAGGAGAAUUCCUUACAGACUGCUGACAAUAAAGCACCAAAGGAGACAUCCUCUCUUGCGUCUGCUCAAACUCAUUCUAAACAAAUCCCAAGAUAUGAGACAGACCCACACUGUGUAAACAAGUAAGCAACCUUAUACAUAGACACACGCAUAUUCCUGUUGAAAGUCAUGGAGAAACUCUUUUGAGAAGAAAUUCUUACAAAAGCAUUGCAAAUCAUAUUAAUACUUUAAUGUAAGCUUAAAGACAUCUAUAAACCAUAUGCAUUUGAUUUACACGUAUGCAUUUGGGAUGUACAUUUAUCAGGCCAUGUGUUCCCAGGGAAUUAAACCUAUGACCAUGGUGUUGCUAGCGCUAUUCUCUAACAGUUGAGCUACAUGAUGCUAAUGACAUUUGAUGCUAAUUAAUUACAUUUGAUGCUAAUAUUCAGAAAUCUUAAAUGUCUGCUACAGUCAAAUAGUUUUUAACUACUACUUUUAACUAUUUCAUAUUUAUUAAAAUACCAGAAAUGCCAGUUCACCAGUAGCAUUACAUCAUCAAAGGAGGAAAGCAGCAGGCCUGGAGCGUAGCCACGCCUGGCUUAAGAGAUCAGAGAGCUACCUCAGAAACUGCGAUAGAUGUGUCAUUAGCUUACAGCGCCCCCUGAUGCAGUG